rnacentral:rRNA from 1 species
UAUGAGUAUUUUUAAGUUAGCAUAUAUGGAUAAAUAUUAAAAGUAUCCGCAGCGAUAUGCAAUUUUGAAGUUAAAAUGGAAGGAAGGAACUCGGCAAAUCUUAGCUUCGCCUGUUUAUCAAAAACAUGGCUCUCUGUUACUUUAAUAUAGGGAGUCGGACCUGCCCAGUGAAAUUUUUUAACGGCCGCGGUACCCUGACCGUGCAAAGGUAGCAUAAUCAUUUGCCUUAUAAUUGAAGGCUUGUAUGAAUGGUUUGACGGGAGCAUUGCUGUCUCCCUCCCAGUAGAUAGAACUUGACCUUUAGGUGAAGAGGCCUAAAUAUAAUUGAAAGACAAGAAGACCCUGUCGAGCUUUAAAAUUAGAUUAGAGGGAAAUAUAAAAUAGCCUAAAUUUAUAGCUAAUUGGUUUUUUGGUUGGGGCGACCGAGGAACAGCAAGAGCUUCCUUUAUCUAAGCUGACUUAUAGGUAUUGAUCCAGCCUAAAGCUGAUUAAAAAAAUUAGUUACCGCAGGGAUAACAGCAUAAUCUCUCUUAAGAGACCAAAUCGAAAGAGGGGGUUGUGACCUCGAUGUUGGACUAGAAUAUCCUGAAGAUGCAGAAUCUA